AUAAUAUGUUCUGUUACAUAAAUUACAUAUAUCACUAUAUAACAUAUAACAUGACUAUAUAUAAUAUGUUAUAUUUAUGCUGUUUUUCCUGGCUAGCUUUCUCACCCUGAGUCUGGGAUCGCUAGGAGGAUAGGCAGCAGCUCAGGCAGCUGAAGUGUGUUGAGGUCAUCAUGACCGUCUUUAAGCACCUGGAGGCUGUGUGUUCAUCCAAGGACUGAAGUCACCAGGGAGAGGUGGCAGAAAUGACAGCUGAGGAGUGGAGAGGUCUUUUUUAGAUGGUAGCCCUCCUUGAACAGACCUCUACAUUCUGGAGUCCAUGUUUGUAUAAUGCCCAUUUCUCUGUCCAUUGACUGGAAUGUUGAGGCAGUGGACAGGCUCCUGGACCUGCAGUCAGGAAGACCUGAAUUCAAAUUCAGCCCCAGACACAUACCAGCUAUGUGACUCUGGGCAAGUCACUUAGCUUCUGUCUGCUUCAGUUUCCUCACCUGUAAAGUGAGGAUAAUUAUCGCACCUACCUCGUGGUGCUAUUGUGAAGAUCAAGUGGGAUGAUAUUUAUAAAGCAUUUAAGCAUAGUGCCUGGCACAUAGUAGACAAUAAAUGUAUGUUUCCUUCCUAACUACCAGCCUUUCCUAUUGACUUUCCUUUUUUCUUUUCUGACCAUCCAUGCUUCCAGAGCUAUUCAUUCCCCACUCACUCUGUUUUGAGAACUUAAAAUAUUUUAUCUUGUUUACACAAGCUCAGUUCUUUGUCAAGUCGAUUAAGGGAGGUACUGGAGAAGGUGGCAGUGUGAGUGUCUGACUAUCCCGUUCCCACCCACUCUCCCCCCAAUCCAUGCUUGGUAGAUGAGAAUAUAACAUUCAAUGUUUGUGAUGGAUUGCUAGGACUGAUGGUAUUGUCAGCAUCUUUUCAAACAUAAGAAUCAAGAUCAGCGUUUAGAGGCUUAAAAUGAUUUUUCUCUGGGUUUUCUGUGUACCUGAGCAGGCUGAUAUUUGUAUACUCUAAAUCAUCUCAAAGGUUGCUAAAGCCUACAUGAUGUUAAUGCUGAAUUUGGAGAAGACAGGAGAGACAUUCACUUUGUGCCUCCACGGACUCUGACAAGGUCUUCAGCUUUGCUACAUAUAUUCAAAUAAAAGAUUCAACUUAAAAAUCAACAACAACGAAAAUGCUUAAAGAUGGUGUUUUGUUUAGUUUCAUCUCAGUUGGUGCUCUAGCAUUUCCAUGCUAGAAUUCAAGCUCUGUGAGGGGCCAUAUCUUUUCUGAACUUUGUAUCUCCCUUGUGCCUAGUUCAGUACCCUGCACAUAGAAGGCACUUAGUAAAUGAUUGUUGAACUCUGUUGUAUUGCAUCACAGAGCUCAGAAAAGCCAAAGGAAAGGCUAGUUUGUGGGAGUGGAGGUCAAGAUCAUCUUAAGAUUGGGACCAAAUAAGGUGGUUUGGGUAAGGCCCUAUCCUUUCUAGGGGAGGUUGGAGAUCUCUGCAUAUUUGCCUCAGUAGAAAUGAACCCUAUAAGCAAGUUCUCUGUGAGUGUGUCCUGGAUAGGCAUAAUUGAAUGGAGACAAAAGACUAUAUACUCUGUAUGUAAGAUUGAAUCCCUCUUCUAUUCAGACAGCCAUGGUGGAAAAUUUGGGUAACAAAUGCUUUGGUAAUAGUGAAGAAUUAUUUUAAGUAAUUCUUCCCAGGAGAUGGAACAAACCUCAAAUUACUUGGACUAUUGCCCUCACUGGGAACUUGGCUGUCCCUUAUGCUGGAUGUUGGGGGAUUCUUUCAAUUGAGAGAAAUGGUACUGCUUGGUAAAGGUGUAACUGUCACAGGAGCUCUGAUGACUGUGGGUCCAAGAUUGGAAGCCAAACUAUAAGCAAAGAAACUUAUUAGCAUGUUAUGGAAUACUGCUCUUGCUGAAUAGCAGCUUCAUUUUCCUAGGGUACUGAUUUGGUUUUUAUGACAUUUCAGACUCAUUUAGACUACACAGCCAAUCAGCAGCAUUGUGUAGCAGCUUAGGGUAGGUAAGUAAAGCA